rnacentral:rRNA from 1 species
AGAGUUUCGAGUCCUGGCUACAGGACGAACGCUGGCGGCGUGCUUAACACAUGCAAGUCGACGGAAAGGCCCUGCUUUUGUGGGGUGCUCGAGUGGCGAACGGGUGAGUAACACGUGAGUAACCUGCCCUUGACUUUGGGAUAACUUCAGGAAACUGGGGCUAAUACCGGAUAGGAGCUCCUGCUGGCAUGGUGGGGGUUGGAAAGUUUCGGCGGUUGGGGAUGGACUCGCGGCUUAUCAGCUUGUUGGUGGGGUAGUGGCUUACCAAGGCUUUGACGGGUAGCCGGCCUGAGAGGGUGACCGGCCACAUUGGGACUGAGAUACGGCCCAGACUCCUACGGGAGGCAGCAGUGGGGAAUAUUGCACAAUGGGCGGAAGCCUGAUGCAGCAACGCCGCGUGCGGGAUGACGGCCUUCGGGGUGUAAACCGCUUUCGCCUGUGACGAAGCGUGAGUGACGGUAAUGGGUAAAGAAGCACCGGCUAACUACGUG